GAUGAACGCUAGCGAUAGGCUUAACACAUGCAAGUCGAGGGGCAGCACAAGGUAGCUUGCUAUCUGGGUGGCGACCGGCGCACGGGUGCGUAACGCGUAUGCAACUUGCCCUAUACAGGAGGAUAACCCGUCGAAAGACGGACUAAUACUGCGUAUGCUCACAACUUGGCAUCAAGUAGUGAGGAAAGAAAUUCGGUAUAGGAUAGGCAUGCGUCCCAUUAGCUUGUUGGUGAGGUAACGGCUCACCAAGGCAACGAUGGGUAGGGGAACUGAGAGGUUUAUCCCCCACACUGGUACUGAGACACGGACCAGGCUCCUACGGGAGGCAGCAGUGAGGAAUAUUGGUCAAUGGGCGAGCGCCUGAACCAGCCAAGUCGCGUGAAGGAUGACUGUCUUAUGGAUUGUAAACUUCUUUUAUACGGGAAUAACAAGAGUCACGUGUGACUCCCUGCAUGUACCGAUGAA
rnacentral:rRNA from 1 species